rnacentral:misc_RNA from 1 species
AUUAAGUUGUCUGCUUGAAAUAAAAACAAUUUUAAGAGUUCAAAAUAGGUGUAUUUAAGCGCUUGUUAUGCGUUAAUAUUAUCUAAUUAGUCUCUUGUUCUGUGACUUAAAUUUGUCAUUCUUUAUUAAAACACCAGAUUAUUAAAAUGACGGUGCAACAAGUUACAUAUUGUUGUGAUAUGGAUAAAUCUGUCCUUAUAUCCAAUUUUGAGAAAAGGGGAUGGAUACCUGUAGGUCCUGAAGAUGACUGGAAUGUCUAUUGGUCUUCUGUUUUAACAGUUCGUAAUAUAUUCAGUGUUGAAACGGGAUACAGACUCUCAGAUAAUCAAAUUAUCAAUCAUUACCCAAAUCAUUAUGAAUUAACACGAAAAGAUCUUAUGGUGAGAAAUAUCAAAAGGUAUCGAAGAGAAAUGGAAAGAGAAAACAGCCCUUUAUCAGAAAAGGAUGAAAAUGGAAAAUAUGUGCACUUAGAUUUCAUCCCUGUGACAUUCAUUUUACCUGCUGAUUAUAAUAUGUUUGUAGAAGAAUUUCGUAAAAAUCCAUCAAGCACUUGGAUCAUGAAACCCUGUGGGAAGUCUCAAGGUGUGGGAAUUUUUCUUAUCAAUAAGCUGUCACAGUUAAAAAGGUGGUCUAGAGAUAGUACAAGUUUUAACCCUGCAGUUGUGAAAGAAUCAUAUGUUAUAUCUCGUUACAUAGAUAAGCCUCUAUUAAUAGGUGGAAGAAAAUUUGAUCUACGAAUUUAUGUAUUAGUAACAUCUUUCAGACCAUUAAAAGCUUAUAUCUAUCGGUUAGGAUUUUGCAGAUUUUGCCAUGUUAAAUAUUCUGGUAACAUUAAGGAAUUGGAUAACAUGUUUGUUCAUUUGACAAAUGUUUCUAUACAGAAGCAAGCUGAUCUUCUCUUUUCUAAUUUUUGUAAUAUUUAUAAGGAUGAAUAUAACAGUGUACAUGGAGGAAAAUGGGCAAUUCAGAAUCUGCAGCUGUAUCUGGAAGGGACUAGAGGGAAAGAGGUCACAGAUAAGUUGUUUGAUAACAUUCGGUGGUUGAUUCUGCACUCUUUAAAAUCAGUUGCUAGUGUUAUGGUUAGUGAUCGUCAUUGUUUUGAAUGUUAUGGGUAUGACAUAAUUAUAAGCGAUGAUUUGAAACCUUGGUUAAUAGAAGUCAAUGCUUCGCCAUCUUUGACAGCCACUACUGCUAAUGAUCGGGUUAUGAAACAAAAGUUAAUUGAUGAUAUAUUUAACAUAUGCUUGGAGAAUGGGGAAUAUCCAAAUGCAAAGUGGAACAAGACACCAGAUAAAUCUGCAUUGGGAAAUUUUGACAUAUUAGUAGAUGAAGAAGUAACUGUGGAAAAAGAAAGCAGUGAAAAGGAAAAUGUAAAAGCAAAGGGUGAUUAUAGCAGAACUGGUGCCAGAGCAAAAGAGAGGCACACUCCUCGCUGGAGAUAAUUAUGGCAUUUAAGUCUUAACUAGCAUUUAUAAAAGCUGUUUAAAGAAGGAAUUGUUAGCUUAUUUAAUGAAUCAAGGAACUGAAGCUGAAUUGAAGGAAUAAAUAAUUCAGUAAUAGUCUUUUAAUGGUGAAGAAUAAGAAGGAAAUAAUGUUUUAAAUUUUGAAGUAUGUAUUCAUAGACUCUAAAAGUUAUGUAUUUAUUAGCUAUUCAACUAAAAUAAAUAAAUAAAUAAAAGAAAAAUGAAAA